rnacentral:rRNA from 1 species
UACAGAGGGUGCAAGCGUUAAUCGGAAUUACUGGGCGUAAAGCGUGCGUAGACGGUUAUGUAAGUCAGAUGUGAAAGCCCCGGGCUUAACCUGGGAAUGGCAUUUGAGACUGCAUAGCUAGGGUGCGGAAGAGGGAGGCGGAAUUUCCGGUGUAGCGGUGAAAUGCGUAGAUAUCGGAAGGAACACCAGUGGCGAAAGCGGCUUCCUGGUCCAGCACCGACGUUCAGGCACGAAAGCGUGGGGAGCAAACAGG